rnacentral:lncRNA from 1 species
UGCAGCUCCUCAUCAGAAGGAAGUACUUCAUCAAUUUCUUCCUGUUCAUAUUCAUCAAUAUCUUCCCCAUCAUACUCAUCUUCACUUCCCACAUCACUCCCUGACACUUCUGCCUCGUCCUCCAGGUAUUUCUUCAAUCUCCUAGAAAAUAAUUUCAAAGAUUAGAAAAUGCAAUAAUGAGGGGCGCCUGGGUGGUUCAGUCAGUUUAGUGUCCAACUUCUGCUCAGGUCAUGAUCUCAUGGUUCGUGAGUUCGAGCCCCACGUCAGGCUCUGUGCUGACAGCUCAGAGCCUGGAACCUGCUUCAUAUUCUGUGUUUCCCUCUCUCUCUGCCCCUCCCCUGCUCAUACUCUGUCUCUCCCUCUCAAAAAAAUAAACAUUAAAAAAAAUUUAAGAAAAUGCAACAAUGAAUACAUACACAGAUUAUGGAUGUAAUGAGAAAAGCAGAACACAGAGCCACUUCUAAUAAUAAGCUUAAAUUUAUAAUAAUACAUUUUGAUAAUACUUAAAGUCUAUCAUUUAAUAUAUACUGUGUGCCAAUAACUGUGCUUUACAAACGUCAUAGCAUUAUCUCAGGAGGGAGCACUUUUAUUUCCUUUAAUUUGCGUUGAAUGAAUUGAGAUUCAGAGAGUAAAUAAAUUACCCAAAGUCACAUAGCUAGGAGGCAGCAGAGCCUGGAUUCAAUCAGGUUCUUUAAAGCCAGAACUCCCAAUCUCCUCUAUACAUUUGAAACAUAACUGCUGGAAAGUUUGGAUCAUUCUGUUCUGUAUUUAAGCUCACCAGUGUUAGGAGACAGUCUAGAGAUGGUAUGGAAUAGAAAGGUAAUAGACUGGGAUCUCUUACAGCUACCACAUCUUGACCCCCAAGUUAGAGACAUGACUGAGGCUCAGAGUUACUGGUAAGCAAAGCCACUACUAGUAAGUUUUUGUGACUUCAGUUCCCAUUGAGAACAAAUCUGCUUUCACUUUGGGUUCAAAGUACUGCCAUCUACAGUCAUGAGUGUCAGAAGUUUGAUGGCUUUCUGAAGGUUAAUUUUUUUAAGUUUAUUUUUAUUUAUUUUAAGAGCGAUAGAGAGCAAGCAGGAGAGGGGCAGAGAGAGAGAGAGAGAGAGGGAGAGAGAGAAAGAGAAUCCCAAGCAGGCUCCACGCUGUCAGCACAGAGCCUGAUGCAGGGCUCAAACUCUCGAACUAUGAGAUGAUGACCCAGGCCAAAGUCAAGAGUCGGACACUUAACUGACUGAACCACCCAAGCGCCCUGAAGGCUGAUUUUUAUUAAAGACUUAUGUUAUUUUUUUUUAAGCUGAAUUUCUCUAAAUCCUAGGCUUCCUAGGGAAUUCCUUCAAGGGCUACCAGACACUAAGUUCCCCAAUCUUCCCAUCUACCCACUUUGAGCUGUUCAACUUUUAGCUGUCUUUCUAAGAUUUCAUUUGAACAAAGGACUCUACAGUUAAAUAAGGUUUAAGAACAACCACCUUAGGGGCACCUGGGUGGCUCAGUCAGUUAAGUGUCCAACCUCAGCUCAGGUCAUGAUCUUCCGGUUCGUGAGUUCAAGCCCCACAUUGGGCUCGAGCCUGCUUCCUAUUCUGUGUCUCCUUCUCUCUCUGCCCCUCCCCCGCUUACACUCUGUCUCUCUCUCUCUCUCUCUCAAAAAUAAUAAACAUAAAAAAAUUUAGGGGUGCCUGGGUGGCUCAGUUAGUUAAGCAUCUGACUAACCUUUGGCUCAGGUCAUGAUCUCGUGGUUCAUGAGUUCAAGCCCCGCGUCAGACUCUGUGAACAGCUCAGAGCCUAGAGCCUGCUUCGAAUUCUGUGUCUCCCUCUCUUUUUGCUCCUCCCCCACUCACACUCUGCCUCUCUCUCUCUCUCAAAAAUAAACAUUAAAAAAAAAAAAAAAGAACCACUGCUGUAGAAAAAUCUAUAGAUGACCCAAAGCUGUAUGAGAUAGUUAACUUGACAGGUGAGAAAUUAGAACCCCAAACUGACCUUAAUAGAAUGGAAUGAUGGGCUAGAAACAAUAAUUAAAUCUAGUAGGGAUCAAUAUGAUAUCCUGUAUGUGAAUUCCAAAAGUCAUCCACAUACAAUAUAAUACUGAUUACCUAUUAAAAUGGUCUUUAUAAAACUUUUAACAUCAUGGGAAAAUGCUUAUGUUUAUCCUAAGUGGGGAAAAAAGAUGAAAAAUUAUACAUAAAAAAAUUGCAGAUAUCAACUAUAUGAAAAUAUAUGCAUAAAAAUGGCUACAAAGCAAUAACUACCAUCAACACUUUCAUUAAAUAUUCUGGAUGGUAAACACAGAUGACUUUUUAUUUAUAUCUUUUUGUAUUCUUUUAAAUAAAAUAAAUGGUUUACUUUCAUGAUCAGAACAGCAAAACAUUAAAAAAAAUAAACAGGGAACCCAUUUACCCAAGACUAGAAUGAGGAAAACCUGAAAUGACAGUAAUUCAGAGGAAAAAAAAGACCCAGGAAUUUUAGCUGUCUACUAGAUCCUCAGGAUCUACCGUGACUCAGCUCUUACAAUCCCUGGUUACUUUACAAGCAGUAUGCAUCCAGAACAAGGGAUGUGGUUGUAGCACUACAUACAGCAGUAGUCAGACCACACCUGAGGAUAAAGAGAAUACCCAGUACAUGAGGAGUCUAGAAGCAAUGUCAUGUGAGAAAUAGCAGUAGGAACUAGAGAUAUUUAGUAUAGAAAUCACUAAGGAGUACAUAACCAUCUCUGAAUACUCAAGUGAUAUCACAUGAAUGGGUUUUAUUUAAUCUGUGUUAAUGCCUAAAAGCAAUACAACCAAGCAAACAUAGGUAAAACAGUGGCAAGCUACAAUUUAACUGUUAGAACUUUCUCUAGCAAUGGAAGGAAUGGACAGAACACCUACAUUUGCCUUUUCAACUUCUCAGACUGUUUUAGGAGCUCUUCAUCAUCAUCUUCAUGGUCUUCCAGUGCCAGAUGUUCAUUAUCAGAGUUACUGCGUUCAUCCUGAAAAAUCAUAGAGUAUCACACACAAAGUUAAACAGAAUAACCUCAACUAAAACAGGAUUUAUAAAUUUCUGCCCAAAUGUCUCAUUCUAGGAAACUGCUUCUGCUAACAUGACCAACAGAAUUCUCAAGAACUCAGACUAGAAAAAAAAAACAGCAGCAAUACAUGGAGUUCAGUUAUGAUUACUUUGUACCCUUCAAACUCACCUCAUCGCUAUCAAACUCAUUAUCAUUUGGGACAAGCCGAAAGUCUCCAAAUUCUUCCUCUUCCCCUUCUUCUUCUUCUUCUUCCCUAAAAUGCAAAUCAAGAAAUUAAUAAAUAAGAUGUUGGAACCAAA